rnacentral:rRNA from 1 species
CAGAGUUUGAUCCCGGCUCAGGACGAACGCUGGCGGUGUACUUAACACAUGCAAGUCGAACGUGAUUUNUAUGGAAAGCCCUGCGGGGACGGAAAUGAAAUGAAAGUGGCGAACGGGUGAAUAACACGUCACCACCCUACCUUACACAGUGGGAUAGCCGCUGGAAACGACGAUUAAUACCGCAUCAGCACCACUAAGUACACAUGUUGGGAGGUAAAAGAUUUAUCGGUGUAAGCAUGGGCUCGCCUCUGAUUAGCUAGNUGGAAGGGUAAAGGCCUACCAAGGCGCACGAUCAGUUGCCGGUCUGAGAGGAUGAACGGCCACAU